rnacentral:rRNA from 1 species
GGCUCAGUAACAGGUAGGUUAACCUACCCUCAGGRSUGAAGAUAACCCCGGGAAACUGGGGCUUAAUAUUAGAUAGAUAAAAAGAUAYUGGAAUGUUCUUUUAUCCMAAAGYUUUUGCGCCUGAGGAUGGGGCCUGCGUCCGAUUAGGUYGUUGGUGGGGUAAUGGCCCACCAAGCCUGCGAUCGGUACGGGCAGUGGAAGCUGAAGCCCGGAGUUGGGGACUGAGACAAGGCCCCAGGCCYUACGGGGCGCAGCAGGCGCGAAACCUCUGCAAUGCGGGAAACCGUGACAGGGGGAUCCCAAGUGCUCAUGCAUUGCAUGGGMUGUUCUUUGGUCUAAGUAACCAGAGGAGUAAGGGCUGGGCAAGACCGGUGCCAGCCGCCGCGGUAAUACCGGCAGCUCAAGUGGUAGCCGCGAUUAUUGGGCCUAAAACGUUCGUAGCCGGAUAAGUAAGUCUUUGGUUAAAUCCUGCGACUCAACCGUGGGAAUUCUAGAGAUACUGCUCGUCUUGAGACCGGGAGAGGUUGGAGGUACUCCUAGGGUAGGGGUGAAAUCCUGUAAUCCUAGGGGGACCACCUGYGGCGAAGGCGUCCAACUGGAACGGGUCUGACGGUGAGGGACGAAACCUAGGGGAGCGACCCAGUUUAGAUACCCGGGUAGUCYUAG